rnacentral:rRNA from 1 species
UAGAGGAAGUAAAAGUCGUAACAAGGUUUCCGUAGGUGAACCUGCGGAAGGAUCAUUACCGAGUGCGGGAACCCAGUCGGGUCCCAAUCUCCCACCCGUGUCUACCACACCUAGUGUUGCUUUGGCGGGCCCACUCCUCCGGUGUUCCGCCGGGGGGGUCGUCCCGGGGCGCGGUGUGCCCCCGGGGCCCGUGCCCGCCAGAGGCACUCACUGUGAACGCUUUUGUGAAUGCGAGGAUUGUCUGAGUGACGAAAUGCAAUCGUUCAAAACUUUCAACAAUGGAUCUCUUGGUUCCGGCAUCGAUGAAGAACGCAGCGAAAUGCGAUAAGUAAUGUGAAUUGCAGAAUUCCGUGAAUCAUCGAAUCUUUGAACGCACAUUGCGCCCUCUGGUAUUCCGGGGGGCAUGCCUGUCCGAGCGUCAUUGCGAACCCUCAAGCACGGCUUGUGUGUUGGGCCGCCGUCCCCUCGUUUGGAGGGGACGGGCCUGAAAGGCAGCGGCGGCGUCGCGUCCGGUCCUCGAGCGUAUGGGGCUCUGUCACGCGCUCAAGGAGGGGUCCGGCCGGGGCCAUAGCCUCUGAAGGUCAAUUCUUCCAAGGUUGACCUCGGAUCAGGUAGGAGUACCCGCUGAACUUAAGCAUAUCAAUA